rnacentral:tRNA from 1 species
CGGGACUCAGUUGGUAGAGCAUCGCUUUUACACAGCGGAGGCCGCAGGUUCGAGCCCUGCACCGUCCA